GACGAAGGUGGCGAGCGUUGUUCGGAAUCACUGGGCAUAAAGCGCACGUAGGCGGCGGCGUAAGUUGGAUGUGAAAUCCCCCGGCCCAACCGGGGAACUGCGUCCAGUACUGCGUUGCUUGAGGAUCCAAGGGGUGCAUGGAAUUCCCGGUGGAGCGGUGAAAUGCGUUGAUAUCGGGAGGAACUCCGGCGGCGAAAGCGGUGCACUGGUGGAUUACUGACGCUGAGGUGCGAAAGCCAGGGGAGCGAACGGG
rnacentral:rRNA from 1 species